CUACGGGAUGCACCAGUGGGGAAUAUUGCGCAAUGGGCGAAAGCCUGACGCAGCAACGCCGUGUGAGGGAUGAAGGCUUUCGGGUCGUAAACCUCUGUCGGAAGGGAAGAACGGGCAUUGGUCUAAUAGGCCUUUGUUUUGACGGUACCUUUAGAGGAAGCACCGGCUAACUCCGUGCCAGCAGCCGCGGUAAUACGGAGGGUGCAAGCGUUAUUCGGAAUUACUGGGCGUAAAGCGCACGUAGGCGGCCUUGUAAGUCAGGGGUGAAAUCCCACGGCUCAACCGUGGAACUGCCUUUGAAACUGCAGGGCUUGAAUCCUGGAGAGGGUGGCGGAAUUCCUGGUGUAGGAGUGAAAUCCGUAGAUAUCAGGAGGAACACCGGUGGCGAAGGCGGCCACCUGGACAGGUAUUGACGCUGAGGUGCGAAAGUGUGGGGAGCAAACAGGAUUAGAUACCCUGGUAGUC
rnacentral:rRNA from 1 species